UUGUGUGUGUGCCUCAAAAAUUUGAAUGUGGGUCAUCUCUCUUGAUUAUUAUGAGCCAACUCCCACUUGUUGGUCUUUGCUGUCUUUUGGCCUCUCCCUUUUCCCAAACUCACCACUUAUAGAACCCCCUUUUGGCUUUUAAUUAGUAUAUACGACUAGGAGUAUACAAUUUGUCAUUCUUCUUGUAACCAGUAAAGUUUCAAUCUUUCUCUCUCUCUUCACGCAAUCCAACAUCCUUUCUUGCAUUCUUGUUCCCCUUUUCUUGAUUUUCUCUUCUUCUUCUUAUUUGCUAAGCAACAGAACAACUUUUUGUCGAUUCUUCACUGUUUCUUUUUUGUCUGUAGACAGACUUUUUGUCUUCCUGACAUAAUACAUGUGUGUUAUAUAUAUGAGUAUUUGAAUUCUUUAUUGUGUUUCAAGAUUUGAAUUUGCCGACUGGGUUCUUGUUACUAUAAAGCAAACUUUAAUGGGUGAUGACUAAUUUGAGUGAUGGAUUUGAUUUGUCAAGUUCUUGGAUGUUGACUUGAAACCCUUUAUCAAAGGAAACUUAAAUUCUCCCCAUUCUUGUUGUUAUUGUGAUUAUUGUGUAUCAAGAUUCAUGCUUGGAGUGCGACAAUGGAGAGGUUUAUGGCCUGCUUUCCACUUCUUUAACACUUUGUUCAGAGGUUUAGUUUAAGGAAAGAUGAAAAAUUUUCUGAAGAAAUUUCAUAUCUCUAGUCAAUCAGAGGAUUCAGAAGGGUCAAAGUCUUCAGCUAAGAUCAAGAGAUUGAGUGACGGUUUGUCGUCUGAAAGACAUUCAAAUUCUAGGUCUGAUGAUAAUAAGCCCUUUUCAGCUAUUUCUGGAUGGUUGAAUUCUGUUACCAAUCGUCAAAGUCCUAGUCCUCCAUCUUCUUCAAACGUGAGUAGAGGGAAUAUUAGGAUGGAACCUUCUGAUUCUGCUAGUAGCAGUGCCUUAGAGGCUGCUUUAGAUGCUGUAAGGCGUGAUUCGGAGUCUAGCAACUCGAGGGGGCCUGAUAUAGAGGAAGAGUAUCAAAUACAAUUAGCUCUGGAGUUGAGUGCAAGGGAAGACCCCGAGGCAGUUCAGAUUGAAGCUGUUAAGCAGAUAAGUUUAGGCUCGUGUGCCCCGGAGAACACUCCAGCUGAAAUUGUAGCUUAUAGAUAUUGGAAUUACAAUGCUCUAAGCUUUGAUGACAAGAUCCUGGAUGGCUUUUAUGAUCUUUAUGGGAUCCUGACAGAGUCCGAUCCCUCAAAAAUGCCCUCUCUUAUCGAUCUACAAAGAACACUGGUAGCAGACCAGAUCACUUGGGAAGCUAUCCUUGUUAAUAGAGCUGCGGACUCUAAGCUGUUGAAGUUAGAACAGAAAGCUAUAGAGAUGACUGCUAAGGUCAGGUCAGAAUCCAUAGGUUUUGCUGAUAAAAAGUUAGUUCAGAAGCUUGCGAUGCUAGUUUCUGAACACAUGGGUGGUUUAGUUGGUGAUCCUGACGGCAUGUUAAUAGCAUGGAGAAGCCUUAGUCAUAGUCUAAAGGCCACUUUUGGGAGCAUGGUUUUGCCUCUGGGUUCUUUGACUGUCGGACUGGCUCGUCACCGUGCCUUGUUAUUUAAGGUUUUGGCUGAUAGUGUGGGGCUCCCGUGUCGAUUAGUAAAAGGCCAAGAAUACACAGGUUCAGAUGAAGUUGCAAUGAACUAUGUAAAGCUUGAAGAUGGAAGGGAAUAUAUUGUUGAUUUGAUGGCAGACCCUGGCACACUUAUUCCCUCUGAUACAUCUGGAACACAGGGAGACUAUGAGGAAUCCAUCCUCUCCAUCAGUCCAUCCUCCAAAGAUGUUGAUUCUCAUACGGGUUCUUCUAGUAGUGGGGUUGCUUGUUCUUCAGAAGAUCAUUCAGAGUAUGGAAUCGAAGAGAGGAAAUCCAGGUUUGGUGAAAUCAGUGCAGGAAAUGAGUCUCCCUCUACAGGUAAUUCAGAAAAGAAGAAAGGAAAUAAUAACUCUGAUGACUUCACAAAGCUUCGUAUGGUGAAGGAGCAAGGGCUGGAAACUUCAUCCAGGACUGGGCAUGCAAGAUCUCCUUAUUCACAUACAAGAUCUCCUUCCUGGACUGAGGGCAUUAGUUCCCCAGCUGUACGGCGAAUGAAAGCGAAGGAUGUCUCACUGUACAUGAUUGAUGCUGCUAAAGAAAAUCCACAGCUAGCUCAAAAACUUCAUGAUGUCUUACUUGAAAGUGGUGUUGUUGCACCACCAAAUUUGUUCACUGAAGUCUAUUCAGAGCAAUUAGAUGCCUCCACUGUGGAGGGAAAAUCCAGGUCAGAGGAUAUGGAAAGUCAGGGUAGGGAUGAGGUUGAGAAAAUCAAGAGUCAAGUUGAUCUAGAUUGUAAUAAUUUCUUGCCUCCUUUGGCUUAUCAUGCCAUGUCCAAGGUCAAUCCCCGUGGGCCAUUUGAUCCUCAUCUGGAUGGUGGAGAAGUUAGUGGGCAGCAUGUUUCCCCACACUCUGAGCUGGCUGCAGCGAAAUUCACAAAAAAUAUGCCUGUUGCUGCAGCUGCAGCUGCAGCAGCAGCUGUGGUGGCAUCUUCAAUGGUAGCUGCUGCAGCAAAGACCACAUAUGGUUCAAAUGCUGAUCUCCCUGUUGCAGCUGCUGUGAGAGCCACAGCUGCAGCAGUGGUAGCAACAACUGCCGCUGUCGCUAAGCAAUAUGAAAACUUGGAGACAUCUGCUCACUUACCAAAUAGUCCUGCUUUCUUCCUUAAUUUAAUCGACCCUAAAAGAGUUGAUAAAGAUGCAGAUGGUGCUGUGCCUGAAAAACGGGGUAGUGAUGAUCAAGUGCAUGAGGCAUUAGGAGUGAAUUAUGAGGGUGAAAGAGUAUCAGAUAGGUCAACUGGUAAUGAUAGUGUGAAAUCUGAUGUGACACUUGAUGAUGUCGCAGAUUGUGAGAUUCCAAUGGAGGAGAUCACCUUGGGUGAGCGUAUCGGACUUGGAUCUUAUGGGGAGGUCUAUCGUGGAGAGUGGCAUGGAACUGAAGUAGCUGUGAAGAAAUUCCUAGACCAGGAGUUAGCUGGUGAAUCCCUUGAAGAGUUUAAAAGUGAGGUGAUGAUCAUGAGAAGACUCCGGCAUCCUAAUGUAGUCCUGUUCAUGGGAGCUGUUACACGUCCUCCAAACCUUUCAAUUGUUACCGAGUUUCUUCAUAGAGGUAGUUUGUACAGGUUAAUUCAUCGAUCGAACAAUCAAUUAGAUGAAAGGAGACGGUUGAGGAUGGCUCUUGAUGCUGCUCGAGGGAUGAACUAUCUACACAAUUGCACUCCUGUGAUAGUUCAUCGUGAUUUGAAGUCUCCAAAUCUCCUUGUGGAUAAGAACUGGGUUGUGAAGGUAUGUGAUUUUGGGUUAUCGAAAAUAAAGCACAGCACCUUUCUAUCUUCAAGAUCAACUGCUGGGACGCCCUUUUGUAGAAGAUAGCUCCAUGCUGUUGGUCUUAAAACAAUUCAGGCUUUUGGAGAUGUUUUGGUUGCCAAGUUUCGCCUUCAAAAAGGCUGAGUGGAUGGCCCCAGAAGUGCUGAGAAAUGAGCCUUCAGAUGAGAAAUGUGAUGUAUAUAGCUUUGGUGUCGUACUAUGGGAGCUCUGUACUCUGCAGCAGCCAUGGGGAGGAAUGAACCCCAUGCAAGUUGUAGGUGCAGUUGGAUUUCAGCAUCGCCGUCUUGACAUACCAGAUGACAUGGAUCCUGCUAUUGCAGACAUCAUCCGAAAAUGCUGGCAAACAGAUCCAAAGUUACGACCUUCAUUUGCUGAGAUUAUGGCUGCUUUGAAACCACUGCAAAAGCCUAUAACCAGUUCACAAGCACCAAAACCACUGGGGAACAGAGGUCAAGAAAAGGGUCGGUCAUAAAGAAACGUGGAUGAUCCAGCAGCAUAGUAUGUUUAGGACAGAAGGGAAAACGGAAUUUUAUCUUUUGUUGGAAAUGAAGACAGGUCCAUAUUUGUUUAACCAGAAAUUAAAGGAAGACAUAAAGGAUCUGUCAACAAACAUAUACUUCAUGAUGAGUCAAUUGUUGUGAUUUUUUUUUUGUUUUUUUUGUUUUCUGGCAGUUGUCAACCCACAGGUCCUCAACAUUGUGCAUCUUAUCUUAUGUAUAAUUCAUUUUUGGGAUCAUUUUGUAAUUAACAGAGAUUGAGAACAUUUCCCAUACUUCCACAUCAAA